rnacentral:ribozyme from 1 species
CGCAGAGCAGCGGAGCAGAUUCCGUUAAUGCGGCUCGGUGAUUCCGAACGGUUGCAAGCCCGU